AACGAACGCUGGCGGCAUGCCUAACACAUGCAAGUCGAACGAGACCUUCGGGUCUAGUGGCGCACGGGUGCGUAACGCGUGGGAACCUGCACUUAGGUUCGGAAUACCUCCCCGACAGGGGUGCUAAUACCGGAUAAUGUCUUCGGACCAAAGAUUUAUCGCCUUUGGAUGGGCCCGCGUUGGAUUAGCUAGUUGGUAGGGUAAAAGCCUACCACGGCGACGAUCCAUAGCUGGUCUGAGAGGAUGAUCAGCCACACUGGGACUGAGACACGGCCCAGACUCCUACGGGAGGCAGCAGUGGGUAAUAUUGGACAAUGGGGGAAAGGCUGAUCCAGCAAUGCCGCGUGAGUUAUGAAGGCCGUAGGGUUGUAAAGCUCUUUUACCCGGGAUGAUAAUGACAGUACCGGGAGAAUAAGCUCCGGCUAACUCCGUG
rnacentral:rRNA from 1 species